rnacentral:rRNA from 1 species
AUUGAACGCUGGCGGCAGGCCUAACACAUGCAAGUCGAACGAGCGGCGGACGGGUGAGUAAUGUAUGGGGAUCUGCCUGAUAGAGGGGGAUAACUACUGGAAACGGUAGCUAAUACCGCAUACCAUCGGAUGUACCCAUAUGGGAUUAGCUAGUAGGUGGGGUAAAGGCUCACCAAGGCGACGAUCCCUAGCUGGUCUGAGAGGAUGAUCAGCCAAACUGGGACUGAGACACGGCCCAGACUCCUACGGGAGGCAGCAGUGGGGAAUAUUGCACAAUGGGCGCAAGCCUGAUGCAGCCAUGCCGCGUGUAUGAAGAAGGCCUUAGGGUUGUAAAGUACUUUCAGCGGGGAGGCGUUACCCGCAGAAGAAGCACCGGCUAACUACGUGCCAGCAGCCGCGGUAAUUC